rnacentral:rRNA from 1 species
AUUGAACGCUGGCGGCAGGCCUAACACAUGCAAGUCGAGCGAGCGGCGCACGGGUGAGUAUUGUAUCGGGAUCUGCCCGAGAGGGGGGGAUAACUACUGGAAACGGUGUCUAAUACCGCAUAUUGUCGGGUUAACCCCUAUGGGAUUAGCUAGUAGGUAGGGUAAUGGCUUACCUAGGCGCCGAACCCUCGCUGGUCUGAGAGGAUGAUCCGCCAGGCUGGGACUGAGACACGGUCCAGACUCCUACGGGAGGCAGCAGUGGGGAAUAUUGCACAAGGGGCGCAAGCCUGAUGCAGCCAUGCGGCGUGUAUGAAGAAGGCCUUCGGGUUGUAAAGUACUUUCAGUGGGGAGGCGUUACCGACAGAAGAAGCACCGGCUAACUCCGUGCCAGCAGCCGCGGUAAUAC